CUCAGGACGAACGCUGGCGGCGUGCUUAACACAUGCAAGUCGAACGAGGUCCACCGCGUAGCAAUACAAGGGAAGACCUAGUGGCGAACGGGUGCGUAACACGUGAGGAACUUGUCCCGGUCUCUGGGAUAACAGUUGGAAACGACUGCUAAUACCGGAUGACGUCGGAAUCUCGCAUGGGAUACUGACGAAAGGGUUACUGGAUCGGGAGAGCCUCGCGGCCUAUCAGCUUGUUGGUGAGGUAACGGCUCACCAAGGCAUCGACGGGUAGCUGGUCUGAGAGGAUGAUCAGCCACACUGGGACUGAGACACGGCCCAGACUCCUACGGGAGGCAGCAGUGGGGAAUCUUGCGCAAUGGGCGAAAGCCUGACGCAGCAACGCCGCGUGCGGGAAGAAGGCCCUCGGGUUGUAAACCGCUUUCAGAAGGAACGAAAAUGACGGUACUUCAGAAGAAGGUGCGGCCAACUACGUG
rnacentral:rRNA from 1 species